rnacentral:misc_RNA from 1 species
UCAUUAAGUCGUAUUCAGCUUCAACACCUACACGAAACGUUCCCAGAGGCUGCGGCACUUGGCGAUGACGUGGAUCGAACAUCACUCCACUAGGAUGGAGUUACGAGUCUUCUAAAGAAAAUAUUUGAUUGAUUCUCUAGCUAAAUAGGAGGGAAAUAAGAAGAUGUGAAUCUCUAGGAUACUCCAACAAUCGAGUCUUAAUUAAAUUUCCUACUAGAUUGGCACUCCAGUCUGUAAUUGGAAUUAGUGGCGACGUUAAGGAAAAUCCAAUGGCCGAAACGUAUAUAGUGGAACAAGAAUGCGUCAACGAAGUGGAAUACAUGAAUAUUUCAGUGACAAAUCAGCAAAAAGUGAAAAGUUUAGCAGGGUCUUAUGUCAUGUAUAAGAUCGAAACCACUACCAAUUUUCGACAUUUUGACAAAAGAACGAUGACUGUGACGAGAAGAUUCGGUGAUUUUAUUGGUCUAUACGAAAAAUUACGCGAAAGAUACGAAAGUGAAGGACGUAUCAUCCCCCCUCCACCCGAAAAGAAGACUCCUGUUAGCGAAAGAAUUUCAAGAAUGAGGAAAACCGAUAAAGUUUCUGAAUGGAAGACCUCAGCACUUCAACGCUAUCUUAAUCGCUUGGCCAGACAUCCAGUACUCAAAUAUGACCCCAUUUUAAGAGAAUUUCUAGAACUGAAAUCGGUUAUACCACGUUCUUAUAGAAGAUCGCCAUUUUCUGCAAGGACUAUACGUUGUCAUUUCAAGAAAUUAGGAGAAUCAAUGGGUAGAAUAUAUGCUAUGGAUGAUGAUGAACCCUGGUUUAAAACUAAAUACCAACAUCUGGAUACCUUAGAAGAUAAUUUGAAGAAAUGGUUAAACAGCAUCGCUACUGUUAUAUGUCAGAGACAAGCUUUAUCUUCAGGUCUAGGUGAAAUAGCCAGAGCAACUGCAUUAGUCGCAGGUUGUGAAGAGAACAAUAUCUUUUCACGACUAUUGUAUAAAGUUGCAGAAGCACAAAAGGAGACUGAAGAGUUACAACUUCAAGAGGCUGAAAGUGAUUAUGGAACGUUAUACGAACUGAUAAAAGAUUAUAUUAUCCUUUUAGAUGUGGUCAAGCAAAUAUUUUGGGAGCGAUUGAAAACAGUUCAUUUGAUUAAAUUAGACGAACAAAAAUUGAUAGAUAAGGUAAAGAGGAUGCACAAAGAGACUGAUUACUACAAGCAAGAGUGCUUAAGAGAUAUCAUUUUACAGAAUCGAAAAUAUACAACAAAAAACAAUCCUUAACCACAUUAUCCAAAGUAAUCCGUGAAGAAUUCGAGCACUUUGAACAAACAAGAUUAGGAGAAUUCGAAUCCGUGAUUAAUAAAAGACUGGAAUCAUUUGUGGGAACUCAUCAACAGAUGAUUAACUAUUGGAAAGCAUUGCUACCAGAGGAACAGGGAAUUGAUUAAGAUUUUUUUUUCUACUCC